ensembl:lncRNA
ACCCAGCUGCUGAGUCAGGCUGUUCUCGCUCCCCGCUCGCCCGCCCGCUCGGGACAUUGUGUUCCAGCCCCGGCGCGCUGGCACCAGGCCCAGGCGCUCACACCAGCCUCCUCGCCCUGUUUGUGCUCGCGGCUUGCGCUCGGCGCGCAGCCUCCCCGCCGCCGCAGCCCUGCGAACGCGCGCCGGGGCCGGGGCCGGGCGCAGGCACCAGGCACAGCCGGGGACCGGAGCGCAACCCCAGGGACGCGCGCCCCGGCCGGCUGGGCCCCGCUGCCCUGCCCGGCCGCCAGCGUUAGAGCACGCAGAUCUGUCCAUCCCCCACGUGAGCCCAGGUUUGGAACCCCAGGGAAAUUCCUCCGUGCUGGACCGCACCCGCCCUUGAGGACCUCCCGAUCUCUUUGGGCAGAACGGAAGCCAGACAGAGACGGGGACUGCGAAGUGACAAUCCCCAGCCCUGUAUGUGCCAGGAGCCCCUGAGGGGCAGGCGGCCAUGCGGCAGGAGGGCAGGGGCCGCCGAGGGAGCCGGGCCUGGGCUGCUGGGACAGAGCGCUUCUCAGAGGAGGUGGGGACCCCGUGGAGUACGUGACUCUGGCCCCUCCAGCCUGCGCACACUCCAGUUAGCGGGACAGAGACCCCUCCCCACCCAUCCUUAACCUUCCACAGCUUCCCGCUCUGCUGGGAGGCCCUGUCACCACACACACACACACCCUUCCCAGACACCCCCGAGAGGACCAGCUGCAGCUGGGGGGUGGGGAGAGCACCGUCAGGGUUCUCGGAUCGCUCGCCCCCAACUGCUGAGCCGCUUCGAGGUUUAAAGCAAAACAUGAUUCUGUCCUUCCUGCCGCUCCGAGGCACCCGCGUUAUUUUUAGCAGGGAUGCAGGGCAGGCACAUUUCUCCUUGACUUUCACUGGGGACAUCCCCCCACCCCCCAGCCAAGACUCAGCCUGGGGAGGCCAGGACGGAAACCCCCCUCCCAGAAAGGGGAAACGGGUGUGUUUUCUGUUCCUUCAACUCACCAGAACAGGAGUUACGGUCAAGCUUGGGGUUGCACUGAUGGGAAAUUCUAGGCUCCAAAGCCCAUGGGCUCCAUGCCAUCCCUAUGAAACUGGGAGCAAGGGGAGCAUGGUGUCUGGAGUGGAGAUGCCCAGUUGGGGGGUGUUGGCGUCCCAGGGGAGCCACUUGGUCACCGCCGGGCAUUGUGGACUAGACAGGGCACCAGCAUUCUGGGUGGUAUUUACACAGGCUAAGCAUGGCUGUUCUUGGUAUUUCUCUGUUUGUGUGUCUUUUAGAUGCUAGCAGUACUUUAUUGAGGUAUAAUCUACAUACGGUAAAAUGCACAAAUCUUAAGCGUACCACUCGAUGAAUUUUGACAAAUGCAUAUUUCCGUGUAACCAUCACCUAGAUUAAGAUUUUGAACUUUUUUUGGCACCCCUAAGUUCCCUUGUGCCUCUUCCCAGUCAGUCCUCACCCCAGAGAUGACUACGGUGUGAUUUCUAUCACCAUGGAUCAGUUUCGUGUGUGUGUGUGUGUGUGUGUGUAUUUUACAAAGUUAAAAGAAAUACAGCUGCCAUCACAGAAGAGGUAAGUGAGCAAUACAAAUUUUAGCAUGAAAGGGGGUCCUCAAAAAAGGAGAGUUAUGGGACUUUGAAAAAAUUAAGGAAUCAUUGGCACGGGAAACAGGAGGUUCAGAGCCAACCCAACCCCUCACGAUUGGGACAGAGGGCUUGGGACACUUCUGGGAGCAGAGAGGCAGAGAGGGGGAAGAGCAGGAGUGAGAGAGAGGCCUGCCAGGGCUCCUCCUGGGUCCAGCCACCCCUGUGUUCUGCUCUGGGUCUGUGCCCCCUCUUAGCCCCCUCACCACGGCAGAUUUCAGCAAAGCCAAGGCUGCAAGGAGGGGCACUCUCAAGGGCAUCUACCCAGAGACGGGGAGAACUAGGGCCUCUGCACAAUUAGGUUAUUUAUCUUUUCUGCCUUCCCUUUCAAAGUCUGUAUGAUUCUGGGCCUCCUUCACCCUUUGGCCUGCUUGGGGAGGGGAGAGGCUGGGGCUCUCAAAGGAGGGUGGUAGAAGGAGAGUCAUGGAGCUCCACAUUUCUCUUUCCUUCAUUUGAGAACACAUAUUUGAGCCCCAACCUUGUGCUGUAGCUUCUGCUGGGUGCUAGGGGUAGGAGGAUGACUAAGACAAAUUUUCACUCACUAAGGAGUCAAGGGGAGCAUUGCCCAGUGAGGCAAGGCCUUAUAGCCCCUUCAAAUCAGAAAUGAGGGGCUCAGAGAGGUAAAGUGACUUAUUCAGUGUCACACAGCUAGCUGCUGGCAGAGGGAGGCCAAGAACAGGGAGCCUUGACUCAGCCCUUCAUCAGCUGGGGAUGAGAAAGCAAAGGAAGCAAAAUCAACCGUUUGAGUCCCUGGCGCUCUUCCUCGCGGGCUUUCUGGAGCAGCAGAAAGAGCACUGACCUGGAAGUCGGGGCACCUCGUUUCUGCUUCUAGCUCUUAGAAGCACUUUCUUUCUGACCCCUGGUUUUCUCCCACGUGCCUGAAGAAGGCAGCCUCCAGAGAAGCGUUGAGGUUCUUUCAGCCCUAACUUUCUCAAGCAGACCCUGCAUUUUCUCACCUCGGUGCCUCUGCUCCAGUUGUGUCUGCCACCUAGAAUGCCCCCUUUCCCUCCCACUUCCUUCCUCUGACAUUCUUCCAGUCGUUUAUGACCUAAUUCAAAUGCUGCCCCUUGAGGCCCCCAUGGUAUUUGGGGAUCUUUUGAGUGGUGUCACCUACGUCUCCACUGCUAGAGCAGACAGAGCCCCCCCCUCACCUUGGGACCCUCCCAUCCCAGAGCAGGGCCUCCCACUGAGAAGGCAUCUUCUUUACCAGCAACUGCUGGAGGAGUUGAAGUGAAUUCUUGCUCACGCCCCACACUUCCACGUGCCUCUUUCAGCUUUCAGAGACUGAGCUCACCCCUCCUCAGGGCCUCCAAGAGAUUGUGCCUUCCUGCUGGGCAGGCCAGCCCAACCCAGGGCAUCAAACUGGGGCACUUUUGGCAAAGGCCCUGGGAGGUGACCCCAAGAAGAUUGAGAAGGACAGGCAGGGCCUCAGCCAGAAGGAUGGCUGCUCCACCUCACCUGACCUGUCCUCAGUCCCAAACGCCUGGGCAGAAAUCCUCCCUCACAGUAAACAUAUGGCUGCUGUUCCCACAAUGACACCCAGGCCCACUCCUACCUACUUGCCCACAAACAGAUUAGCAACUUUGCAAAAAUGAACCCCGCUGCUCUCUCUACUCUGGAAAUACACACAUGCACGCUCAUCGUACAUAUGCACAUGGGCACACACAGACAUGCACAUCGGCAACAUAUACAUGGACAUACAUGCAGACACAUAGAUGUAUACAUGAGCACCAUGAGUGCAUGUGUGAGCAUGCAGCCAUGCCCACAUGCCCCGUGGGUGCACACACUCUCACACAUGUGCACACAUGGGUACACAGGCUCGCAUGUAUGCACGCAUGGGUGCACAUAUAGGCACACUCACUCCCCCAUGAUGAUGUGGGGCUCCUUUCCACGCUCAGCUCUCAGGGGAGCCCAGCUCAUGCUUGCUGAGCCAAGGAUGCUCCAGGGGAACGUGGGAUGAGGAAAGCGCUCCAUUGUUGGGGUCUGGCUGCCUCUGGAUUUACAUCAAACUGGGGUCUUUUGUCUUAAUUUUCCUUACUGAUGGCCCUGUGGGAAGCAGAGAAAGCCCAAGAGCUAUGGGUUCACUCCAGGCAGCACCUUGCUUGGGUGGCCAGCAGGGAUGGGAGUUGGGGAGGGGGGGCGGCGAGUAAGGCUUCCAUCCUCCUGUGAACAAAUGUCUCCAAGGAGCCAUCGUUCUAUGGGACCAGUAAAUGUGGGACUGACCUUCUCAAUGCUUUCACUGUCACUCUCUUCAUUCCAUCCAUUCCUCCCAUUGCUGCAGGGGCCUCUGGCCCAUGUCCUCUUCCUGUGGGGAGAUGGGAAAGCUUUGAAGAGAGCCCAGUCCCAAGGUUGAUGUGGCAGCUCUGGGGUUGACAGCAGGGUCCUCGGCAGGCUGGCCCCCUCAGGUGGAAGGGGGGCUUCUCUUGGACUCCCCCAGGGCAGCACAGCACUAAUUCAGAGGCUGGCGAGGUGGAGUGGUGCUGUUUGUGAUACAGUUAUCUGAUCUAGAGGGUUGGGCAGGGAGCAAGCUUGGAUCCCGUUAAACCCAGUUCAGCUGCAGCCCCUGAGCACAGAGCAUAGG